GAUUAACGCUGGCGGCAUGCCUAAUACAUGCAAGUCGAACGGCAGCACAGUAAGAGCUUGCUCUUACGGGUGGCGAGUGGCGGACGGGUGAGGAAUGCAUCGGAAUCUACUCUGUCGUGGGGGAUAACGUAGGGAAACUUACGCUAAUACCGCAUACGACCUACGGGUGAAAGCAGGGGAUCUUCGGACCUCGCGCAAUUGGAGCGGCUGAUGCCGGAUUAGCUAGUUGGUGGGGUAAAGGCCCACCAAGGCGACGAUCCGUAGCUGGUCUGAGAGGAUGAUCAGCCACACUGGGACUGAGACACGGCCCAGACUCCUACGGGAGGCAGCAGUGGGGAAUUUUGGACAAUGGGGGCAACCCUGAUCCAGCCAUGCCGCGUGAAGGACGACGGUCCUAUGGAUUGUAAACUUCUUUUGUAUGGGAGCAAUAAGGUCUACGUGUAGAUCGAUGAGAGUACCAUACGAAUAAGCAUCGGCUAACUCCGU
rnacentral:rRNA from 1 species